GAAAGCAUUGCUCCUCUUGGUGGCCAUUACCUACCCAAAAUACGUACUUCUUUACAUUCCAUAGCAGUGUAUGUUCAUAUGGGUACAUAAAGAAGUAUGUGCUCUGAGUAGGCACUGCUGAG
ensembl:miRNA Mir1b microRNA mir-1b